GACUCCGUGGCGCAAUGGUAGCGCUUCACACUCCAGAUCAGAAGGUUGUGUUUUCAAAUCACGUCGGGGUCA
rnacentral:tRNA from 1 species